AGAGUUUGAUCCUGGCUCAGAUUGAACGCUGGCGGCAGGCCUAACACAUGCAAGUCGAACGGUAACAGGAAGCAGCUUGAUGCUUCGCUGACGAGUGGCGGACGGGUGAGUAAUGUCUGGGAAACUGCGUGAUGGAGGGGGAUAACUACUGGAAACGGUAGCUAAUACCGCAUAACGUCGCAAGACCAAAGAGGGGGACCUUCGGGCCUCUUGCCAUCGGAUGUGCCCAGAUGGGAUUAGCUAGUAGGUGGGGUAAUGGCUCACCUAGGCGACGAUCCCUAGCUGGUCUGAGAGGAUGACCAGCCACACUGGAACUGAGACACGGUCCAGACUCCUACGGGAGGCAGCAGUGGGGAAUAUUGCACAAUGGGCGCAAGCCUGAUGCAGCCAUGCCGCGUGUAUGAAGAAGGCCUUCGGGUUGUAAAGUACUUUCAGCGGGGAGGAAGGGAGUAAAGUUAAUACCUUUGCUCAUUGACGUUACCCGCAGAAGAAGCACCGG
rnacentral:rRNA from 1 species